rnacentral:rRNA from 1 species
UACGGGGGGUCCAAGCGUUGUUCGGAAUCACUGGGCGUAAAGCGCACGUAGGUGGCUCUUCAAGUCUGUUGUGAAAGCCCAGGGCCUAACCCUGGAAGUGCAGUAGAUACUGUUGAGCUUGAGUAUGGGAGAGGAUAGUGGAAUUCCUGGUGUAGUGGUGAAAUACGUAGAUAUCAGGAGGAACACCGGUGGCGAAGGCGGCUAUCUGGCCCAAUACUGACACUAAAGUGCGAAAGCGUGGGGAUCAAACAGG